UAUUUUAACCGAGCGUUUAUGGUGCCUCCUCCCCGUUUUGUGCAUUCUUGUGGGAAGCGCUAAAACCGAACCAAAUCAUGAUAAUUAAAGUUAUUAAUUUUCAUAACAUGCCUUUUUUCAUCCCCUGUAAGACUGUGGUUUGGCUUUUAAUAUUAAACGUUUUGUGGAUUGACGCUGGAGGUGUGCGGUUGUUGCUGUAAAGUGUUUAAUGGAAAGCUGUACAAAUUCUCAAGCAAUUGAAAGUAAUGCACUCCUUCCUUUUUUUUAUAUGUAAAUAGCUUGAACAUCAGUCUGGAAGCAUUUUGCGAACUGACUUUUUUUGGGGGGGAAAUAAUAAGUUUCCAUUACAGCUUUUAUUUUAAAUGUAUGUCAAAGCUCUACUGAAUUCAGUGCUUCCAUUGCAUUUAAACAUGAAAAUCAAGGCCUAUCUGAAUCCAGGAGGAAAAGUGUAAUCUACUACCAUGUACUAAACUUUGUGAUGAGAUGCUAUAGGAAGGAAAUCACCAUUUUAUGAAAUAACCCUUUGUGAACCCAACUCAUUCUGAUUAAGUGAUACAAUGUUUUACUGUUACAACCCAACAGUAAUGCCUGCUACACCACAUGUUUGUACUUUCCCCAUAACGUGUAUGUUUCCUAUAUAUUUUCAGUGUCAGUGCAUAAGUCUUUGUGAUAUACUUGGGGAAUUACAUGUGUAUUGUGGGUUGUUGCUGUUGAAAGCAAGCCUCAGUUGUGAUAUGUCAAUUCCUUGUUAAAUCCACGUCAAAGUGAUUGUACCAGGAUGUCAGGGAUUAUGGAUUAUUCUCUGUUAACGUUAUCUAUGUUUUGAUAUGAAUUUGUGGUGUGGUAAAGAACAUGGAAGUGAAUAAGCAAGCAAUGGCACCGUGUAAACCUAUGUUUAUGGUCUGGUUUGCUUUUGACACAAAGGAGUCAUUGCAGGUAAACAGCAGCCUGAAUUAAUUCAUUAGAUUUACACAUAAAGUACCACCUAUGACACUGUGGCAUGUGCUGGUAACAGCAUGCGCAGGGGAUCUUUCAGCAUCACGUUAAUGCUCUUAUUUUCAGCUGACGAAAGGGAUGAGAAAACUUCCUUUUUACCUUUUGCUGAAUUUUAGUCUUCAGAUUUGUUUUCUGUUAUUUUUCAAACUUAAAUUGAGAAUACUUCUUUGUAGAGUUACAGAUUUUAAAGGAGAGAGGUUAAGAAAGUACUGAUAUUUGAGAUCAGGUAUUUUCAGAGUUUUGCUUGAAACAAAUUAACCUUUUUCUUUUGUCAGAACAAUAGCAUGAUUUGUUGAAUUUUGAUGCUUAAAAUAUAUCUCUGUGGUCUGUAUGAUUUUAUAGAUCAAGGUCUCUUUCAAUAUGAGAAGCUGUAGCAAGAUAAGCCCCAGAUUACUCAUGUGCCGUAGUUUUUGUGUCUAGUGGGAUAAAAUCUUGAAAGCUAGGCUAAAUUAAUAUAAAUGUUAAGUCUACCUUUGAAUUCAUCAUUUGGAACGUACUACUUCUCAAGUUUCAAUUUUUGUACUUCUCUGACUGUUCAGGCAGGACAAAGUUGGUCCUUGGUGUAAUCCAUUCAUGAGUGGAAGCAAGUUGGUGAGAAUUUAGCUGAGAUUUUUCUACAGGUUUAACGUGUAAGCCCGUAAAGGAAGGGGUUAUACUUUAAAGAUUGAUAACUGGACUGUGAAAUAUCCUUUCCUCUCUGAACACGUGAUGCCAAGUCCAUGAAUACAGUGAAUCCAUUCCCAUCUUUGUUUCACAUAUUUCUGGAAUCUUUUUUUUUUUUAAUAUAAUUAUUCAUUUACUUUGUUGAGACAUCUGCUAAGCACCUUUUGAAGAACAAGCUUCGU